CAGUCGCCGCGGGAAAACGAAGGGGGCUAGCGUUGCUCGGAAUUACUGGGCGUAAAGGGCGCGUAGGCGGCGCUCCAAGUUAGGCGUGAAAUUCCCGGGCUCAACCUGGGGACUGCGCUUAAGACUGGAGUGCUUGAGGAUGGAAGAGGGUUGUGGAAUUCCCAGUGUAGAGGUGAAAUUCGUAGAUAUUGGGAAGAACACCGGUGGCGAAGGCGGCAACCUGGUCCAUUACUGACGCUGAGGCGCGAUAGCGUGGGGAGCAAACAGGAUUAGAUACCCCGGUAGUCCCUGUCUCUUAUAC
rnacentral:rRNA from 1 species